GGAGGAUUAGCUCAGCUGGGAGAGCACCUGCCUUACAAGCAGGGGG
rnacentral:tRNA from 1 species